AUCUGUAGUCCACUCCUUUCACUGCUUGGGCCGACUUGCUAUUCAUAUUAAGCUUGCUCUCUGCAGGCUCAGCCACUCCAGAAUUCUAGGUGAUAUGGACUGAACUGUGUCCCCCUAAAUUCAUAUGUUGUAGCCCUAGCCUCCCAGUGCUUCAAACUGUGAUGACAUUUGGAGGCAGAGCCUUCACCGAGGUGAUCAAGUGAAAAUGAAGUCAUUAGGAUGGGCCCUAUUCCAGCUGGCUGCUAUCCUAAUAAGAAGAGGAGAUCACACCAGAGGUGAGGUUGCAUGGAGGGGCCACCAUGUGAAGAAGCAACAGGAGGGAGGACACCUGCGAGCCAAGGAGAGAGCCUCAGAGGAAACCAGCCCUGCUGGGACCUUGAUCUUGGAUGUCCAGCCUCCAAACUCCAAUUCACCCAAAGUAGUAAAGACAGACUAGCUUCCAAGUGAGACUUCCUUCAUGCUGCAGUCACAAGAAGGGAAAAAGAAGAAACAGAGAACAAAAAUGUUUCCCCGUUGGGAUUUCAUGCUCUGUCUGAAGUUAUCUCACAAACGGAGGGAAAAUACCAUCAGCGCUGGAGGAGACAAUGACAGAGGGCAGAAAUGUUGAAACUGUGCCCUUUAUCUCCACUUUUACCACUUGCUCUGGGGGAAGCCAGCUGGCAUGUUGAGAGGACACUCAAGCAGACCAAUGGAGAGAUCGGAGAGGCAAAGUACUGAGGGUAGAUUCUCCAGCCCUGGUUAAGCCUUUGGAAGAUGCAAUCUUGGAAAACAUUUUAAUUGAAACUUCAUGGGAGACUCUGAGCCAGAACCACCUAACUGUUUCUAUAUUCCUGACCCACAGAUACUGUGAUAGA